ensembl:lncRNA
AAGGAUGGAAGAAGGAAAGGAAGAAAGGAAGAAAGGAUGAAAGAAGGAAAGGAAGAAAGGGAGGAAGGAUGGAAGAAGGAAAGGAAGAAAGGAAGGAAGGAUGGAAGAAGGAAAGGAAGGAAGGAAGGAAGGAUGGAAGAAGAAAGGAAGAAAGGAAGGAAGGAUGGAAGAAGGAAAGGAAGAAAAGGAAGGAAGGAUGGAAGAAGGAAAGGAAGAAAGGAAGGAAGGAUGGAAGAAGGAAAGGAAGAAAGGAAGGAAGGAUGGAAGAAGGAAAGGAAGAAAGGAAGGAAGGAUGGAAGAAGAAACGAGGAAAGAAGGAAGGGAUGAAAAAGAAAGGACGAAAGGAACGGAGAAGAUGAGCGGA